rnacentral:rRNA from 1 species
CAAUAGCGUAUAUUAAAGUUGUUGCGGUAAAAAAGCUCGUAGUUGGAUUUCUACCGAAGAUAGCCGGUUGGGUCUUCGACCUUGUAUCUGGUUUUGUCUUUGGUAUCCUCAUAGGGAACGUUUCUGCGCUUUAUUGCGUGGUGCGGUAUCUAUGACUUUUACUUUGAGGAAAUUAGAGUGUUCACGGCAGGCAAACGCCUUGAAUAUAUCAGCAUGGAAUAAUAACAUAGGAUCUUCGUCCUAUUUUGUUGGUUUCUAGGGCUAAGAUAAUGAUUAAUAGGGAUAAUUGGGGGCAUCUGUAUCAACGCGUCAGAGGUGGAAUUCUUGGAUUGCGUUGCGACAAACUACUGCGAAAGCAUUUGCCAAGGAUGUUUUCAUUGA